UAGGGAAUCUUCGGCAAUGGACGAAAGUCUGACCGAGCAACGCCGCGUGAGUGAAGAAGGUUUUCGGAUCGUAAAACUCUGUUGUUAGAGAAGAACGUUGCAUAGAGUGGAAAAUUAUGCAAGUGACGGUAUCUAACCAGAAAGGGACGGCUAACUACGUGCCAGCAGCCGCGGUAAUACGUAGGUCCCGAGCGUUGUCCGGAUUUAUUGGGCGUAAAGCGAGCGCAGGUGGUUUAAUAAGUCUGAUGUAAAAAGGCAGUGGCUCAACCAUUGUGUGCAUUGGAAACUGUUAGACUUGAGUGCAGUAGAGGAGAGUGGAAUUCCAUGUGUAGCGGUGAAAUGCGUAGAUAUAUGGAGGAACACCGGUGGCGAAAGCGGCUCUCUGGACUGUCACUGACACUGAGGCUCGAAAGCGUGGGUAGCAAACAGGAUUAGAUACC
rnacentral:rRNA from 1 species